rnacentral:rRNA from 1 species
AUACGGAGGAUCCGAGCGUUAUCCGGAUUUAUUGGGUUUAAAGGGAGCGUAGGUGGAUUGUUAAGUCAGUUGUGAAAGUUUGCGGCUCAACCGUAAAAUUGCAGUUGAAACUGGCAGGCUUGAGUACAGUAGAGGUGGGUGGAAUUCGUGGUGUCGCGGUGAAAUGCUUAGAUAUCACGAAGAACUCCGAUUGCGAAGGCAGCUCACUAGACUGUUACUGACACUGAUGCUCGAAAGUGUGGGUAUCAAACAGGAUUAGAUACCCUGGUAGUCCACACAGUAAACGAUGAAUACUCGCUGUUUGCGAUAUACAGUAAGCGGCCAAGCGAAAGCAUUAAGUAUUCCACCUGGGGAGUACGCCGGCAACGGUGAAACUCAAAUGAAUUGGCGGGG